AGGAGUAUAAUUAAGGCUACCACUCACAAGUCUUUGAAAUAGAGAAAAUGAAAUCAAUUUACAAAAGAAGUCAUUUCACAAUUUGGAACCAAUUUAACUACUCAUCUACCCCUUGUAAUUCCUCUCAAUGUUCCCUCAAAUGCAUGUACAAAAUAAUCAAGCAUAGAGAAUCAAGAUUAUAGAGGAAUCUACUACAAUAUUAAUCAAUAUGCUCAAGUGGAAUCAAUUCACACUUGGCGACAUUCAUGAAAAUGAAUUAAGGAUGCUCAUGGUGCAAAGUACAUGACUCCCACUCACCUGUCAAUCUGGCACAGCCCUGAUACG
rnacentral:lncRNA from 1 species